rnacentral:rRNA from 1 species
UAAGGAAUAUUGGUCAAUGGGCGCAAGCCUGAACCAGCCAUGCCGCGUGCAGGAAGACGGCCCUAUGGGUUGUAAACUGCUUUUAUCAGGGAAUAAACCCCCGCUCGUGAGCGGGGCUGAAGGUACCUGAAGAAUAAGCAUCGGCUAACUCCAUGCCAGCAGCCGCGGUAAUACGGAGGAUGCAAGCGUUAUCCGGAUUCAUUGGGUUUAAAGGGUGCGCAGGCGGAUUGGUAAGUCAGGGGUGAAAUCCCACAGCUCAACUGUGGAACUGCCUUUGAUGCUGUCAGUCUAGAGUAUAGUUGAAGUGGGCGGAAUGUGUCAUGUAGCGGUGAAAUGCUUAGAUAUGACACAGAACACCGAUCGCGAAGGCAGCUCGCUAAGCUAUAACUGACGCUCAUGCACGAAAGCGUGGGGAUCAAACAG